CUGAGACAUCUGCGAUCCUGAGCUGCUCCGGUGGGCACCUGCCAGAAGACAGGAGCCCAGGCUGCAGGAGUCGCUGGUGGAGGAGGGGUGAGGCGGCGCCCCUGCCUCUGUGGUUCUGCAUGGGGCAGGGCCCCUGCUGCUCCGGGCGGGGAAAGAAGGUAGGAGGCCCUUGCUCCCAUGACUCACUCCAGGCUCUACACACGUUGGAGUUUUCUGUUUCUUUCUGAGCUUCUAAUGCAGGAAUCACAAGCUCAGAUCCCUCACAGAUGCUAUGUUUUGCUUCGGCGUGCAUCCUAGGUGGGAUUCUUAGACAUGGGAAACACACAGCAACAUCUGGCCCUUCCACAAAGAAGUACGUAUGCUCCCCCAGCACCCUUUGUUUUUUGAGAUAGAGCCUGGACAGCACAGUGAGACCCUGUCCCCCUCUUCCGCAAAAAAACAAAAAGGAAGAGCGAUUAUGAGGUUCCUGAGGCCAUCUAGACAGGAGGUGGCGGGGACUUAGAGUGGCAGCUGAAGUUGGGGCAAAAGAGGUUGGACACUUUAUCAAUAUACUUUGAGGUUUGAGUCAAAAGCCCUUUGGCUGGGCUGUUAGAGGGUAUGGGGUAUCUUUAUGGGGUAAUGAAAAGAUUCUAAAAUUAAUGGUGACAGUUGCACAAUUCUGUGAAUAUCCUAAGAACAAUUGAAUCGUAUGGUAUAUGAGUUAUGUCUCAACAAUGUUAACAGAAAUGAGGAUUUGCAGAUGGAUUUGGUGUUGGGGUCUGAGAAGGAGAGGAGGCAAGGAAGACCAGCCUGGGCAGCU
rnacentral:lncRNA from 1 species